GCCGAUGUAGCUCAGUGGUAGAGCAACGGUUUUGUAAACCGUAGGUCGUCGGUUCGAUAACGACCAUCGGCUCCA
rnacentral:tRNA from 1 species